rfam:Xanthomonas campestris pv. campestris str. ATCC 33913, complete genome.
AUGUACCCACGUACACUCCGGUUCCUCCGCGCCGUCCGCACCCAUCUGACGGCUGCUCGCUACGUUUUGUUAGCC